GGAAAGUCGGUUGCGAAGACUUGUAUCGCUAACCCGGCCAGGGCCGAGAGGCAGCAACCGUAACGAAUUUCAGCCUGUUGUGAUCGGCUUUCCACC
rnacentral:SRP_RNA from 1 species